rnacentral:rRNA from 1 species
AUUGAACGCUGGCGGCAUGCCUUACACAUGCAAGUCGAACGGCAGCGCGGACUUCGGUCUGGCGGCGAGUGGCGAACGGGUGAGUAAUACAUCGGAACGUACCCUGUUGUGGGGGAUAACUAGUCGAAAGAUUAGCUAAUACCGCAUACGACCUGAGGGUGAAAGUGGGGGACCGCACGGCCUCACGACUACGGAGCGGCCGAUGUAUGAUUAGCUAGUGGGGGGGGUAAAGGGCCACCAAGGCGACGAUUAGUAGACUGUCUGAGAGGACGAUCAGCCACACUGGGACUGAGAAACGGCCCAGACUCCUACGGGAGGCAGCAGUGGAGAAUUUUGGACAAUGGGGGCAACCCUGAUCCAGCAAUGCCGCGUGUGUGAAGAAGGCCUUCGGGUUGUAAAGCACUUUUGUCCGGAAAGAAAUCGCGCUGGUUAAUACCUGGCGUGGAUGACGGUACCGGAAGAAUAAGCACCGGCUAACUACGUGCCAGCCGCCGCCGUAACAC